CGCUGGCGGCGUGCUUAACACAUGCAAGUCGAACGCACCUUCGGGUGAGUGGCGGACGGGUGAGUAACGCGUAGGUAAUCUACUCUUCAGUGGGGGAUACCCAGCCGAAAGGUUGGUUAAUACCGCAUACGCUCCUGUGCAGAGAGGUACAGGAGGAAAGGUUUACUGCUGAGGAAUGAGCCUGCGUCCGAUUAGCUAGUUGGUGGGGUAAAGGCUCACCAAGGCGACGAUCGGUAGCUGGUCUGAGAGGACGAUCAGCCACACUGGAACUGAGACACGGUCCAGACUCCUACGGGAGGCAGCAGUGGGGAAUUUUCCGCAAUGGGCGAAAGCCUGACGGAGCAACGCCGCGUGGGUGAUGAAGUUUUCGGAACGUAAAACCCUUUCGCCAGGGACGAAGCGAGUGACGGUACCUGGAGAAGAAGCAUCGGCUAACUACGUG
rnacentral:rRNA from 1 species